GACGAACGCUGGCGGCAUGCCUAACACAUGCAAGUCGAACGGAGAUUAUUUCGGUACUCUUAGUGGCGAACGGGUGAGUAACGCGUGGGCAACCUGCCCUCUAGAUGGGGACAACAUCCCGAAAGGGGUGCUAAUACCGAAUGUGACAGCAAUCUCGCAUGAGGAUGCCGUGAAAGAUGGCCUCUAUUUAUAAGCUAUCGCUAGAGGAUGGGCCUGCGUCUGAUUAGCUAGUUGGUGGGGUAACGGCCUACCAAGGCGAUGAUCAGUAGCCGGUCUGAGAGGAUGAACGGCCACAUUGGGACUGAGACACGGCCCAGACUCCUACGGGAGGCAGCAGUGGGGAAUCUUCCGCAAUGGGCGAAAGCCUGACGGAGCAAUGCCGCGUGAGUGAUGAAGGAAUUCGUUCCGUAAAGCUCUUUUGUUUAUGACGAAUGUGCAGAUUGUGAACAAUGAUCUGUAAUGACGGUAGUAAACGAAUAAGCCACGGCUAACUACGUG
rnacentral:rRNA from 1 species